ACGUAGGGACCAAGCGUUGUUCGGAUUUACUGGGCGUAAAGGGCGCGUAGGCGGCGUGACAAGUCACUUGUGAAAUCUCCGGGCUUAACCCGGAACUGCCAAGUGAUACUGUCGUGCUAGAGUGCGGAAGGGGCAGUCGGAAUUCUCGGUGUAGCGGUGAAAUGCGUAGAUAUCGAGAGGAACACCUGAGGUGAAGACGGGUUGCUGGGCCGACACUGACGCUGAGUGCGCGAAAGCGUGGGGAGCGAACAGGA
rnacentral:rRNA from 1 species